rnacentral:lncRNA from 1 species
GUAAGCAAAAUUAGAGUUUAUAUCAUUGAUCUUAGAAGCAAAAAUGUCAUCGUCCUCGUAAAGAUAGAACAUUAUUACAUCAGUUUCUUCAUAAAAUACAUCAAUAAUGUUCUCCUCUAUUAAUGUAGCUAAACUUAGCAGGUGAGGUCCUCAGGAAGGCUGAUGAAUUCCUCCAACUGCAGCUCCUCAACCUCGGCAGUGACUUUCUUCCGGACGUCCCGGAUACUUAGCUCAACCAUCCUGUCGAUAUUUAAGUUGUUGAAGAUCAUAAAUCCCAACACUUCAGUCCCAACUAUAAUAAUGGGCUCGGGCUCACCAGAGUAAGGUUUGUACUCCUUGAGAAAAAUAUCCUUUAGAGUCUUACCCUUUUGGUUUACCCUCAUCUUCUUCUUUGUUAUACCAUAGGCCAUGUCGAGUCUUUUGUCCCUUGAAGUUCGACAUCUCUACAACUCCUUGGUGAUUCUUCCCUAGCCCCAUUUCAGGCAUAAUCCCAAUUUGAGAUACAUACUUAAAAACAGGUAAAAAAAUAUUAGAAUACAUAAAAAAAAUACUAAAUAAGACAUAAAUAAACCUAUUUCUAAGAAAGAAAAAUCAAAUUGAUGAAAAAAAAAACUUACAGUGAAUAAACAUGAGAAUUUCCUAAAACAUGUAUAUUGAACUAAUCAUGCAUAACCUAGACCUAAUUAUUCAAAUACAUGAAUUAUUAUUAAAAAAAGGUAAAUCUAACAUAUUAACCUACUCAUAUGAUUUAUGAAAUUCAAAAUUCAAGAAAAGGAUGUUAUCCGUUUGAAAACUCAAAAAUAUCAACAUGAUAGUAAAUAUUUAAAGUCACAUUGAUCUUAAAUCCAUGCAUAUGGAUCAUUAAAUUAAUCAUUAAAGAACAAUUAUUAAAAAAUCUAACAUAUUACUAAUCAUAUAAUAAUCUUAACACAUUAUUUAAUGAUAGAGAAUUAGAAAAAAGAAGAAAGAUGACGAUAUGAUUGUUUGAAACCCUCAAGUUGUCACCAUAUUAUGCAGAUCCUCGAGUCUCGGGAGUAGAGGAAGAGAUUGAAUCAAAGAUUAAAUAGGAAACCAAAGUGUUUUGGCUAUGUGUUUAGUUUUUGGGAGUUUUUGUAUGUUGCCUCAAAAAAUUAUUAUCAUUCUCUGCUGAUAGUUGCCAACCUCUUGGCUUAUGGAUUUCUUUUCUAUUUAUAGAGAAUGAUGGAGGAAACUCCAAAGGCUUGGAUAUAUAUAUUUUUUUAAUUAUUUGAUAAUUACCAAUAAUUAAUAAUAAUUAUUUGAAUUUAUCAAAAUGUGUUGAACGAUAAAUAUAGAAUAAAUCAUAAAGAUAUUAAAAAUUCGAAUAAUUGUCAAUAAUACCUUCUAGAAGACACAUUUUAAUUAUUUUUAGCCUUUCAAAGUAAAAAAAGAAACCCCAAAAUGACACUAAAAUAUGAAAUUAGAGCCAAUCAGCUCUACAAAGAGUUGGUCGUUUUGGGGUAUUUUUCAAAAUCAAUUUGGCUCUAAGUUGGCAAUUUUUAAAAAGUUUUGCAAUUUGACCCCUGAACUUGCUGAUUUUCCAAUUUCACACUAUAAACUUGAUAUUUUUGUCAAUUCAAUCCAAAUUGAUUUUGAAAAUUUUUUUUGGUUCAAACCUAGCUAUGAUUUGAUCGUCUUCAAUUUCUCAAGACUUGGAAGAAGCAAUAACUUUUAUCAUCAGGUUUUCUGUAAUUUCCUCGAUAUCUAGAUCUAAAAAUGGAUGCUUACAUUUUAAUUUUAAAUGGGCUACAUCUUGCAUGUCAAAAAGCUUGUUUCAAUUAUUUAAAUCUAAGUGAGUCAGUUUAUUAAUUAGCCAUGGCAAAGCUCACCUAUGUCUAGUUAGGUUUUAUGAUUAGGACCAAUUUGCCAUCAUUUUAACCUAAUGGACUGGAGGUUUCAUGUUAAGGUCCAAUUUUAAGCCUAAGUCUAUGUGAAAUUAUUUUUAGUUUGCAAUCACAUAAAGCAGAUAUUUGUCCAUACUUUACAUAUCACAGACAUACAGAACUAGAAAGCAAAAAAAUAACAAAAUUACAUCCCUAAAACUCAAAAGUUAUGCAAAAACUAACUAAAACGGUUAAAAGAGGCGAAAAUGGUCAAAAUUAUGCAAAAUGGGCGAGCCAAGAAUGAAGUGUCGAUCGGCACUAGGGCAGAACUGAUCGGCUCUCUACAUAGCCAAUCGGCUAUGUGCUGUGCCGAUCGGCUCUAUGGCUUUUUCGAGCAACAGAACAAUCAAAUUUGGUAAUUUUUUGGGUUUUUGAUGAAUUCCAAUCCCAAAAUCCUCUGAAACACAUCCAAUCAUGCAUAAAUUAAUUAAUCAAUGAUGAAAAAAAUAAAAAAAGAGUGAAAUAGGGUAAUUUGAUCUAAACAUGCAAGAAGAGACAAUUCAAAAAGAAAACUUACAGUAACCUUAACUGAGGUAUGCGCAGAUGUAAAAAUAAUGGUUAUCUAACAUGUUAUAUCAUAUUAACUAAUCAUGAAAAAAAAACAAUAAAAUAAUUAUUCUUAAAACAUGUUGGCAAUUAAAUAGACUAAUAGAAAGGAAACAAAUUCAUCGAAUGACAAAUAAAGAAACUUUUCUAAAUCAUAUUUUUGUAGAAUAACAAAUUUGAUUCUCUUUAUCUUAAUCAUGGAUAAUCAUUUGAUAACCUAACCUAACAUACAAAUCUAACUGAUUAUGAUUUAAGUGAUCAGAUUCAUAUCCCUAAACAUGUAGAUCUUUAAAGUUGAGAUUCCUAUAGACAUCAUAUGUUAAUCUAGAUACCAAAAUCAUAUGAAUAAAUCCUAAACAUGUCGUCAAAAUACAAACAGAAUCAUAAAAGAAGAAAGACAUAGAUUAUGAGAUGAUUGAGUUUUAGGAACCUUGAGGUUAUCACCGUAUUGUGCAGAUCCUUGAGUUGCACGAGGUGAGAGAAAGGUUGAUCUAUAGAUGGAUAAGGAUCCAAAGUGUUUAGUGGGUUUGUGUUUGCUUUUUUUGAAAAUCACAAUACAUUCACCAACUUAUCAAUUAUUUUUCAAGAAUUGCCAACAGCCUAGCCUAGACUUUUCUUUUCUGUUUAUAGAGAAGGUGGAGGAAACCCUAGAGGCGAGGAUAAUCAUCUCUUUAAUUAUUAAUAAUUAUAAGAAUUAUU